rnacentral:lncRNA from 1 species
ACGGGCGGUCUGAUCAGAAAACUUCUGUUUUUGUCGCACCCUGCUGAAACUCAACUUGUCCUCUUUACAAGGUCAUAGCUUGUUACUGAACGUUUUAUUGUCAGAUAACAACAAGAAGAAUCAAUUUUAUUGUUGAUAACACGGAGAGCAAUGACCUGGGUGAUGGUUUGGAAAGUAAGACUGUGAAAAGGGUUCAAGAGAAGGAUUACAGCUGGUUAAUAUCAUCACUUCAUCAAAUAUAUAGCCGAAGGUGAUAGUGGAACUCUUUUGCAGUUUUGCCACCUGAACUUUUCUCAUUUCUAUGAAUUUUGGAGCAGAUACUGAUUAUAGUAUUUAAUUUGUGCUUACUUUCCCUUUUUUUGUUUAUUUAUUUUUUCUGGGGUGGGGUAGCGAUAGGUUAGUUAGCAGAAGCACAUUUUUCAGAACUUGAAGAAGAAAAUUGUCAUUCUAAAUAUCAGGAUUCUAAUUUUCAUCUCUAUUCCUUUGCCUGGCUUUUGCUUUUACUCUAAAAAAGUUCACGUGUUUUCUCACACAAUUGGUUUGUUUUGUUGUUCUUCUCAAUGCUGUAGAUACUUAUUAUAGUGUUUUUAAGAGUAAGAAUAUCUAUUUACUGUCUCGGGGAAGGAAGUACCUUUGCUUUCCUCCUCACAUAUCCUGUUCAUAUAAUUCACUUGUCCUAUUUAGUUACUCAUUGGCACGUCUAUUUUUUUGAGUGCAAUCAUGGAUUCAUGGUGCAUUAUGCAUAGUGCACUUAUUUUACCUGGAAAAUCUUACUUAGAAAAACUGUUCUUACAGAUAUCUUUUGAGAAGAAGUGCACUGGAAUUGUUUAUGGUUGACCGGUCAAACUACUUCUUUGAUUUUGGGGUAUGUCUUUUUAAAAAAUUUACUAAUUGCUGGGCUUGGGCCUUUUGACUGACUACAUAUUUUUCAAUAUGUUGGUUAUGUUCUCUGUAGGUCACUGAGGGACGAAGAAAUGCAUAUCGAGCUAUUGUUCAAGCUCGUCCUCCUCAUUUGAACAAUAUAUACCUUGCAACUCAGGUUUUUUACCAUCUGAUCCCUUGCCACCUUUCAUGCAAACAUCAUAAGACAUUCUGCACUCCAUAGUCCUCCUCAUUUGAACAAUAAUCAACUGUGAUGCUCGGACUCUCCAUUCAUGUAGGAGUACUCGUGUCGACACGACACGGGUACUGGUACGGAAUGUGGGUCAGAUUCUUCAAGUUUGAAUUGGACCCGACAAGAAAAUCUUUAGAAAAAUUGAAGAUUUACCUUAGCUGUAGUUUGGUUGGAGAUGGAAGAUGUGUGUAAAGAAAUAGUAGGUUGGCGCCAGCGAUCUUUGGUCCAAAAUGAAUCUGCUGGCUAUCUUCACUUGGAACCUUAAAAUCGUGGAGGAGGAAGACGGCGACGACAGGAAUGAAAGAAGAGAUUUAGGUUUAACUUGAGUCUAGGCCAUUUUUAUUGGGCUAAUAAUAUGGAUGUGGGUUGGCUCAAUAAUUUGGAUAUGGAUGGAUUUAAUUGAAGUUUGGGCCAUUUUUAAUAUGGAUAUGAGUGAGCUAAUAAUGUAAUUGUUUUUAGACCACAUAUAUAUAUAUAACUUCAAAACCAUGGAUUUUCAGGUUUUCUGGAGGCUAGAUUUAAUGGAAAGUUCUUCAAGGAUGAGGAGGAUUUUGAGGAGGAACUACCAUGGUUCAGAUCACUUUGGUGCAGCUGCAGAUUAUGAAGAUCAUGCAGUGCAAAAGCAUGAGAAAGAUAAUGUCAUAAGUCCAUCCAAGGCUUCUAUCUUAGCUGCAGAAGCUAUCUCGAUUGAGGUGGGAAAUGAAGAGGAUGAGCAAGAAGACGUUGCCUAUUUGGACAGUAGUCCAAAUGGCAUGGAACAACACGAUGAAUUUCAUAAAAGAUCAUCUGGAACCGCUGAACAACCACUUCAAAUGACAACAGAGUCUAGAGAUCCUCCAGUGACUAAUGACCCAGUCUUGCCAAUAGCAUCUGCUGUUGCCCCGGGCUAUGUUCCUAGCGAACAUGACGAAAGAAUAGUUCUUGAGCUUCCGUCUUCAAUGGUCCGACCACUAAAGGUUCUGAGAGGAACUUUUCAAGUAAGUUCUGCAUACCUAAAUACUGAAACUGGUCUUGUUACGAAUUAUGCAUGUGCACUAGCUACUAGUCAUUUUCAUAAAUGAUAUUGUUUCUCAUGGAUUGAUAACUGAAUACUGAAACCGGUCUUGUUACAAAUUGUUACGUAUUAUAGCACUACCUAUUAGACAUUUUCAUUAAUGAUGUUCUCUUAUGGACAAGAAAUGAAAUACUAAACUAUGUUCGUCUGGAUUUUUGCUGUUUCCUGUUUUGGCCACGGGCGGUCUGAUCAGAAAACUUCUGUUUUUGUCGCACCCUGCUGAAACUCAACUUGUCCUCUUUACAAGGUCAUAGCUUGUUACUGAACGUUUUAUUGUCAGAUAACAACAAGAAGAAUCAAUUUUAUUGUUGAUAACACGGAGAGCAAUGACCUGGGUGAUGGUUUGGAAAGUAAGACUGUGAAAAGGGUUCAAGAGAAGGAUUACAGCUGG